GUUCUCUUUGGAAUGACCUUUUCUCCCAGGUCUUCCGAGCUGUCAAGAGUAUACUAAAUGGAUUUGUUGCCUUCUUUACAGCUUGCAACCGGCAUCGUCUCAGCAUUUAUAAUCAUAUUCAAGACUUCAUUCAGAGACUGCUUGAUCGAACACCAGGAUCACAAUCCUCAGAUUCUAGGCAUGGUAGACCUAGAGGAAGGCAGCAACAUUUGCGCUUACAGCCGGAAUUGAGAAAACAUCGGAACAGCUAUGUCAUGUAAUAACUUAAGGGUAAGUAAAAGAAAGGCAUUUGAACAAGCAUCAGAUAGAGGACGGGCUAAGCAGGAAAAAGCAUCUGGCUCAGGAGAGCCUCUUUUAGAGUACAUAACACGUUUGACAAGCAUCAGAGAGCUAACUACACAAAGGAAAGGAAAGAGCAGGUUUGUCUAUAACUCUUGUUUAUGCGGCAUUUUAACUUAAUGCAGUCGGAAUACUUUCAUUCUUUUGUUAUUUACGUCUCCUUACUGAUUUUUUUCUUCUACAUCUUAGAUUUAGAUUUUGAGAUCCGUUCUUCUCCUUUCCUUUACCUACAUUGUACUAAAAGUAGCUGAUAUUUAGAGUGUAAAUGUAAAGAGCAUGUAUAUAGCCUACUUGUAUAUUAUCAAAUCUUGUAUUCAUAGGCCAACGCUUGUAAGUUUGCGUGUCAAUAACAUUAAUGAAAGAAGAUUUUGGGUACGA